AGAACGAACGCUGGCGGCAGGCUUAACACAUGCAAGUCGAACGCUCGGAGCAAUCCGGGAGUGGCAGACGGGUGAGUAACGCGUGGGAAUAUACCCUUCGGUUCGGAAUAACUUGGGGAAACUCAAGCUAAUACCGAAUACGGCCUAUGGGCGAAAGAUUGAUCGCCGAAGGAAUAGCCCGCGUCCGAUUAGCUAGUUGGUGAGGUAAUGGCUCACCAAGGCGGUGAUCGGUAGCUGGUCUGAGAGGAUGGUCAGCCACACUGGGACUGCGAACGGCCCAGACUCCUACGGGAGGCAGCAGUUAGGAAUUUUCGGCAAUGGACGAAAGUCUGACCGAGCGACGCCGCGUGGAGGAUGACGCCUUUCGGGGUGUAAACUCCUUUUCUGCGGGAAGAUAAUGACGGUACCGCAGGAAUAAGCACCGGCUAACUACGUGCCAGCAGCCGC
rnacentral:rRNA from 1 species